GAACAUACCUAUACGUUGCCUCGGCGGAUCAGCCCGCGCCCCGUAAAACGGGACGGCCCGCCCGAGGACCCCUAAACUCUGUUUUUAGUGGAACUUCUGAGUAAAACAAACAAAUAAAUCAAAACUUUCAACAACGGAUCUCUUGGUUCUGGCAUCGAUGAAGAACGCAGCAAAAUGCGAUAAGUAAUGUGAAUUGCAGAAUUCAGUGAAUCAUCGAAUCUUUGAACGCACAUUGCGCCCGCCAGUAUUCUGGCGGGCAUGCCUGUUCGAGCGUCAUUUCAACCCUCAAGCUCAGCUUGGUGUUGGGACUCGCGGUAACCCGCGUUCCCCAAAUCGAUUGGCGGUCACGUCGAGCUUCCAUAGCGUAGUAAUCAUACACCUCGUUACUGGUAAUCGUCGCGGCCACGCCGUAAAACCCCAACUUCUGAAUGUUGACCUCGGAUCAGGUAGGAAUACCCGCUGAACUUAAGCAUAUCAA
rnacentral:rRNA from 1 species